CCUACGGGAGGCAGCAGUAGGGAAUCUUCCACAAUGGGCGAAAGCCUGAUGGAGCAACGCCGCGUGGGUGAAGAAGGUCUUCGGAUCGUAAAACCCUGUUGUUAGAGAAGAAAGUGCGUGAGAGUAACUGUUCACGUUUCGACGGUAUCUAACCAGAAAGCCACGGCUAACUACGUGCCAGCAGCCGCGGUAAUACGUAGGUGGCAAGCGUUAUCCGGAUUUAUUGGGCGUAAAGGGAACGCAGGCGGUCUUUUAAGUCUGAUGUGAAAGCCUUCGGCUUAACCGGAGUAGUGCAUUGGAAACUGGGAGACGUGAGUGCAGAAGAGGAGAGGGGAACGCCAUGUGUAGCGGUGAAAUGCGUAGAUAUAUGGAAGAACACCAGUGGCGAAAGCGGCUCUCUGGUCUGUAACUGACGCUGAGGUUCGAAAGCGUGGGUAGCAAACAGGAUUAGAUACCCUGGUAGUC
rnacentral:rRNA from 1 species